AUGAACGCUAGCUACAGGCUUAACACAUGCAAGUCGAGGGGCAGCAUGAACUUAGCUUGCUAAGUUUGAUGGCGACCGGCGCACGGGUGAGUAACACGUAUCCAACCUGCCGAUGACUCGGGGAUAGCCUUUCGAAAGAAAGAUUAAUACCCGAUGGCAUAAUUCUUCCGCAUGGUAGAAUUAUUAAAGAAUUUCGGUCAUCGAUGGGGAUGCGUUCCAUUAGGUUGUUGGCGGGGUAACGGCCCACCAAGCCUUCGAUGGAUAGGGGUUCUGAGAGGAAGGUCCCCCACAUUGGAACUGAGACACGGUCCAAACUCCUACGGGAGGCAGCAGUGAGGAAUAUUGGUCAAUGGACGAGAGUCUGAACCAGCCAAGUAGCGUGAAGGAUGACUGCCCUAUGGGUUGUAAACUUCUUUUAUACGGGAAUAAAGUGAGGCACGUGUGCCUUUUUGUAUGUACCGUAUGAAUAAGGAUCGGCUAACUCCGUGCCAGCAGCCGCGGUAAUACGGAGGAUCCGAGCGUUAUCCGGAUUUAUUGGGUUUAAAGGGAGCGUAGGCGGACGCUUAAGUCAGUUGUGAAAGUUUGCGGCUCAACCGUAAAAUUGCAGUUGAUACUGGGUGUCUUGAGUACAGUAGAGGCAGGCGGAAUUCGUGGUGUAGCGGUGAAAUGCUUAGAUAUCACGAAGAACUCCGAUUGCGAAGGCAGCCUGCUGGACUGUAACUGACGCUGAUGCUCGAAAGUGUGGGUAUCAAACAGGAUUAGAUACCCUGGUAGUCCACACAGUAAACGAUGAAUACUCGCUGUUUGCGAUAUACAGUAAGCGGCCAAGCGAAAGCGUUAAGUAUUCCACCUGGGGAGUACGCCGGCAACGGUGAAACUCAAAGGAAUUGACGGGGGCCCGCACAAGCAGUGGAGUAUGUGGUUUAAUUCGACGCAACGCGAAGAACCUUACCAGGGCUUGACAUCCCUCUGACAGAUCCUUAAACGGAUUUUUCUUCGGACAGAGGAGACAGGUGGUGCAUGGUUGUCGUCAGCUCGUGCCGUGAGGUGUCGGCUUAAGUGCCAUAACGAGCGCAACCCUUAUCGAUAGUUACCAUCAGGUUAUGCUGGGGACUCUGUCGAGACUGCCGUCGUAAGAUGUGAGGAAGGUGGGGAUGACGUCAAAUCAGCACGGCCCUUACGUCCGGGGCUACACACGUGUUACAAUGGGGGGUACAGAAGGCAGCUACACGGCGACGUGAUGCUAAUCCCUAAAGCCUCUCUCAGUUCGGAUUGGAGUCUGCAACCCGACUCCAUGAAGCUGGAUUCGCUAGUAAUCGCGCAUCAGCCACGGCGCGGUGAAUACGUUCCCGGGCCUUGUACACACCGCCCGUCAAGCCAUGAAAGCCGGGGGUACCUGAAGUGCGUAACCGCGAGGAGCGCCCUAGGGUAAAACUGGUGAUUGGGGCU
rnacentral:rRNA from 1 species